GCUGAGAUUGAGAUGGCACCCCUAGGGAGAAUUGCUGCUAUAGACCCGUUAAGAGCAGGAGUCUCCAAACCCAAGACCCAGCGACUUACUCGGGGCUCUGGUAUGACCCAUGGCAACACCCGUAACUGCAUGGAACACACACUAUUGAGCCAUCUACAGGGGAGAAAGCCACUGCUCCCCAUAGCAAAAAGGGGGGCAAGAACAAAAUACAGUAGAUGUUAUCAAGGUGAAUGCAUGUGGCUCCCAUUUGCUUAUGUGCUGAGAGAUA
rnacentral:lncRNA from 1 species